CCUACGGGGAGGCAGCAGUAGGGGAAUCUUCCGCAAUGGGACGAAAAGUCUGACGGAGCAACGCCGCGUGAGCGAUGAAGGGCCUUCGGGUCGUAAAGCUCUGUUGUCAGGGAAGAACAAGUACCGGAGUAACUGCCGGUACCUUGACGGUACCUGACCAGAAAGCCACGGCUAACUACGUGCCAGCAGCCGCGGUAAUACGUAGGUGGCAAGCGUUGUCCGGAAUUAUUGGGCGUAAAGCGCGCGCAGGCGGUUCCUUAAGUCUGAUGUGAAAGCCCCCGGCUCAACCGGGGAGGGUCAUUGGAAACUGGGGAACUUGAGUGCAGAAGAGGAAAGUGGAAUUCCAAGUGUAGCGGUGAAAUGCGUAGAGAUUUGGAGGAACACCAGUGGCGAAGGCGACUUUCUGGUCUGUAACUGACGCUGAGGCGCGAAAGCGUGGGGAGCAAACAGGAUUAGAUACCCUGGUAGUCCACGCUGUAAACGAUGAGUGCUAAGUGUUAGAGGGUUUCCGCCCUUUAGUGCUGCAGCAAACGCAUUAAGCACUCCGCCUGGGGAGUACGGCCGCAAGGCUGAAACUUAAAGGAAUUGACGG
rnacentral:rRNA from 1 species